rnacentral:rRNA from 1 species
UACGUAGGGUGCGAGCGUUUGUCCGGAAUUAUUGGGCGUAAAGAGCUUGUAGGCGGUUUGUCGCGUCUGCCGUGAAAUUUCGGGCUCGAACCCCGAACUUGCGGUGGGUACGGGCAGACUAGAGUGUGGUAGGGGAGAUCGGAAUUCCUGGUGUAGCGGUGAAAUGCGUAGAUAUCAGGAGGAACACCAGUGGCGAAGGCGGCUUUCUGGACGGUAACUGACGCUGAGACGCGAAAGCGUGGGGGAGCAAACAGG